AGGUGUGAUCAUACUAGCGUUAAUGCACUCGAUCCCAUCAGAACUCCGCAGUUAAGCGUGCUUGGGCUAGAGUGGUACUAGGAUGGGUGAGCUCCUAGGAAGUCCUAGUGUUGCACACU
rnacentral:rRNA from 1 species